rnacentral:tRNA from 1 species
GCCCGGUUAGCUCAGUUGGCUAGAGCGUGGGACUUUUAAUCCCAAUGUCGGGGGUUCGAGCCCCCCAUCGGGCG